rnacentral:misc_RNA from 1 species
AAGUCGUAACGUUUCCGUAGGUGAACCUGCGGAAGGAUCAUUAACACGUAUCCAACGUUAAAACAACCGCAUGAAAGCAGCAAUCCCUGGUAAAUCAUUGUUAACCAGCUUUUGAGUCAGGACCUCUGCCGAUGAGAAGUUACAGUUACGCUCGUAUCGGUAGUCAAAGCGACUCGGCACCCCAGCGUCAUUGAUUGUGUAAGGGUGGCGCUAUCGCUCGUUGGAGGCCAACACGGCCGACGACCGGGUCCCUAGGUCACCAUGCCCCUUACUAACCACUAUGUAAAUAAGUUGGGCCUGCGUUAGAUUCGGGGUCAAAAAAAACGAACCACUGUUAACAAUGGACAUCUUGGUUCUC